AUGAAUCCACUAAUUGCUGUUGCUUCUGUUAUUGCUGCUGGAUUGGCCGUAGGGCUUGCUUCUAUUGGACCUGGAGUUGGUCAAGGUACUGCUGCAGGACAAGCUGUAGAAGGUAUUGCGAGAGAGCCAGAAGCAGAAGGUAAAAUACGAAGUACUUUAUUGCUUAGUCUAGCUUUUAUGGAAGCUUUAAUAAUUUAUGGACUAGUUGUGGCACUAGCGCUUUUAUUUGCGAACCGUUUUGUUUAA
rnacentral:rRNA from 1 species